AAUAGAAAUAAAUAGAAACCGGUUUUAAAGUUCUUAAGCCACUCCUUAAUCGACUCUUCGCAGUGUAAGAGUUCGAAUCCAUCGUUUACUCUCUGCUUGCUUCCUCCCGCAAUCUCCAACCAGGUUGGCAGGUAAAGUACAAGCUUGCAUCCAGGCUUCUUCUCUAGUUGAAUGGUAAGAACUCCUAUCAUUUUAAGGAAGAAAUUAAGUGAAUGUGACGCUGAUAAGGUUCAUAUCUGAAAGAAUUUCUGAUUA